rnacentral:rRNA from 1 species
GAUGAACGCUGACAGAAUGCUUAACACAUGCAAGUCUUUGGCGAAUCUGUGCUUGCACAGGCUAGCCAAGGCGGACGGGUGAGUAACGCGUAAAGAACUUGCCCUGCAGACAGGGAUAACAGACGGAAACGACUGAUAACACCUGAUACAGUUGCCGGCACGCAUGUGCCUGGCAAUGAAAAGAGGUGCUGCAGGAGAGCUUUGCGUCCUAUUAGCUUGUUGGUGGGGUGACGGCUCACCAAGGCGAUGAUAGGUAGCCGGCCUGGGAGGGUGAACGGCCACAAGGGGACUGAGAUACGGCACUUACUCCUACGAGAGGCAGCAGUGGGGAAUAUUGGACAAUGGGGGCAACCCUGAUCCAGCAAUUCUGUGUGCACGAAGAAGGUUUUCGGAUUGUAAAGUGCUUUCAGCAGGGAAGAAGAAAGUGACGGUACCUGCAGAAGAAGCGACGGCUAAAUACGUG